GAUGAAGAACGUAGCGAAAUGCGACAAGUAAUGUGAAUUGCAGAAUUCCGUGAAUCAUCGAAUCUUUGAACGCACAUUGCGCCCUUUGGUAUUCCUUAGGGCAUGCCUGUUCGAGCGUCAUUUAAACCUUCAAGCUAAGCUUGGUGUUGGGUGACUGUCCGCUUCACGGCGGACUCGCCUCAAAAUUAUUGGCGGCCGGUACAUUGGCUUCGAGCGCAGCAGAAACGCGAACUCGGGCCCGUCGUAUUGGCUCCCAGAAGCUAUCUUCACAAUUUUGACCUCGGAUCAGGUAGGGAUACCCGCUGAACUUAAGCAUAUCAAUAAGCGGAGGA
rnacentral:misc_RNA from 1 species